CCUUCCUCUCAGAGGAAGCCAGCUGAUUAGUUCUUCCUUCAGAGAAGGCAUUUGGGAAUACAAAAUGCCCACUGGAUGGUCAUUCUGCAUAAUCCUAUUUUUAAAAUGUUUUAUUUAAUGACAAUAUCUACUCUCAUUAUACCAUGCAGUGUUAGCAGUUUAACCCCAGAAAUAUUAAAUUGCCAAUGAAAAAGAAUUAGCAUUUUUUCCUCUUUAUGAAUAAAAUGUUAAGAACCAAAUUCUGUUUAGACACACUGUCCUCUAAGUUAGCUGUCAAAAGUUGUGUUUAUUCCUGUCUGUGAAUAUUGUAAUAUUUAAACAUUCUUGCUUUUGUUCAAGAAAAAUCUUUGGCCUUAAAAAGGACAAUUGUACCGAGGCAGGUCUGUGCACGCCCUACCCAGGUCCUGAGUCGCCCAGAAGACUCGGAAUCCCCCCGCUGCAGACAGGCAGGUCUGCCCACACCCUACCGAGGUCCUGAGUCGCACAGAACAUGCCGAAUCAGGCCGCUGCAGACAGGCACGUCUGUGCACGCCCUACCAAGGUCCUGAGUCACGUGGAAGACACCGAAUCACCCCGCUGCAGACAGACUUGUUCCACACUACAAAGCCACAGAGGACACCAGACCACCAGACCAAGAACAAAGACUAAAUAAUGACAUAAUCCUCAGCUGACUGAAAAUGUGACUGGACGCACUCCCUGUGGACAGCUGACAGCUUUUUUUUCGUAUACCUGAUAGUCUGCACAACAUUGUUUUAUCUGGGAGUCAGGGGUGGCUGACAUGUAUUAUAAAAUCCAUAUCUUAAAGCUAAAACCAAUAUCGUAGUUGUUUCUCAGAAUAAUAUGUUGUUAUGUGUGGGAGAAAUGAAGUUUCUUAGAGGAAAAAAAGCUAUGUUGUUAUGUACAGCAGAAAUAAAAUUUUCUUUGCUUAAAUAAAUCGACUUAUUUAUGUGAAAGACAACAAUGGAAAAAUUAAUAGUGUUUA
rnacentral:lncRNA from 1 species